GACGAACGCUGGCGGCGUGCUUAACACAUGCAAGUCGAACGAGUGGCGAACGGGUGAGUAAUACGUGAGUAACCUGCCCUCUUUUUGGGAUAAGCCUUUGAAACGGGGUCUAAUACCGGAUAAAGGGGGAUGGGCUCGCGGCCUAUCAGCUUGUUGGUGGGGUGAUGGCCUACCAAGGCGGUGACGGUUAGCCGGCCUAAGUGGGUGACAGGCCACAUUGGGAAGGGUAUACGGCCACGACUCCCACGGCGGGCAGCGGUGGGGGAAAUUGAAGAAUGGGCGAAAGCAUGAUGCUGCGACUCCGCGUGGGGGAUUAAGGCUUUCGGGUUGUAAACCUCUUUCGCUAACGAAAGGGUAGGUGGAGAAGAAGCGCCGGCUAACUACGUGCCAGCAGCCGCGGUAAUAC
rnacentral:rRNA from 1 species